rnacentral:rRNA from 1 species
UACGUAGGGCGCAAGCGUUAUCCGGAAUUAUUGGGCGUAAAGAGCUCGUAGGCGGCCUGUUGCGUCCGCUGUGAAAGCCCGGGGCUUAACCCCGGGUCGGCAGUGGAUACGGGCAGGCUAGAGGUAGGUAGGGGAGAAUGGAAUUCCCGGUGUAGCGGUGAAAUGCGCAGAUAUCGGGAGGAACACCAGUGGCGAAGGCGGCCCGCUGGGCAGUGGCUGACGCUGAGGCGCGACAGCGUGGGGAGCAAACAGG